AUUCCAGCUCCAAUAGCGUAUACUAAAGUUGUUGCAGUUAAAAAGCUCGUAGUUGAAUUUCUGGUCUUGGACAGCGGUCUGCCUCAAAAGAGGUACGCACCAUCUAUCCGAGUCCAUCCUCGGGGAAAACAUGUGUGUGAUUCAGUUCAUGUGCAUGGGAUCCUCGUCAUUUACUGUGAGCAAAAUAGAGUGUUCAAAGCAGGCUUAUGCCGUUGAAUAUUUUAGCAUGGAAUAAUAAGAUAAGACCUUGGUCUAUUUUGUUGGUUACGUGGACUGCAGUAAUGAUUAAUAGGGAUAGUCGGGGGCAUUAGUAUUUAUUAGCUAGAGGUGGAAUUCUCUAAUUUGAUAAAGACUAACUUAUGCGAAAGCAUUUGCCAAGGAUGUUUUCAUCG
rnacentral:rRNA from 1 species